UGGGCUGUAGCUCAGUGGCAGAGUGCUUGCCUGGCAUGCAUGAGGCACUGGAUUCGAUUCUCAGAACCACAU
rnacentral:tRNA from 1 species